rnacentral:lncRNA from 1 species
UUCAUUCUCUGAACAUGGGAGUUCUUCACGGGCCAGUUGGCUUAAAAUAAAAUUGCAGAAACCAGUCAUGCAGCUAUUGCAUUUGUACGAGCUUCUGCUUGUCUUUCAAAGGUCCUCCCUCUCUUGUUACAAUGUGUAGCUGUAAUAACAAAAUAUCAUAGGUGGUUCUUAAAAAGGGAAGGAGAAGGUCUAGCAUGCCCGAUGAACUAGUUUCUUGAAAGCAUCAAGGACAAAUUUUGGUACCUUGCAGCUUGUUGAGCUUUCAAUAUAAAUAAGCUCUCAAUGUUGAGUGAUGUCACUGCCCCCACUCACCUUUACUAGAAUCUGAUGUCUGCAAUCAAUUUUCUACAAAUCAAUCAAGGUAAAUAAUGUUGAAGCAACACAAAUCAUUAACUUAAAGUUUAAGUCAAAAAGAAUUGUUGCUUCUCUACAAGACUGAUAACUCGGGAAUUGAGUUGAAGAUGGUCUUCCGUUGUAGCUAAUGAGAGCUUCGUAAAUAACUUUUAAGACCAUGAGACAUAUAAAGAAGCUGAUAUGAUACAUACAAUGAUUUCACAAAAAUUAUCUAAGAAGAAAAUAAGAUUUUAUUGUUAGUUUAACUAUAAUAACUAGUGGCAUUCAUAAACAAAUUGAUUAUUGACGAUUACUGUACACGAUGCAUAAAUAGAGACAAUAGUUUGUGAAGUUAUAUUGUAAAGAAACUAGUUGUUAAAAUCUACUAUUAUGCAAAGAUUUAUCACUUAAUGGAGAAGGCAAAAAUAGUUAAAUAAAUUAAUUGCAUAACAUCCACCUCUUUUAUUAUCUACGGCAAAUUAUAUUGGUCAUUAGUCAUUUGACAUAGUCGUACUCAUUAAUUAAAUUCAUAUCCCUAGUUCAAACUGUAAUAAAUCUCAACUAUAUCUGUAUGACUAAGCCAGGUUGGGAACAUAUCGCUAAAUAAGUAUGCCUAUCUCAUGCUUGACUAACCCCGACAUGUACAUAUACUAGUAUUCAGAACCAUCGCGAGAAGCACUUCACCUAAAAUCAUCAACUUUUCUAUCAGAUUUUAUAGUUAAAAGCCACAAAAUUCUCCAACAUGUCAACUCAGAAUUCAGGAAAAGCUGCAUAAUCAUACGUAAGGGACACAAUUAUCUUUAUUCUCAUUACAAUUAUCAGAUAUAUCGAUUCAAAUCAGAUCUAAGUUCUAACAUAAUGCAAAAAAAUUAACCAAACAUUGAAACUGCUGGACUUACAAAUUAAAAGGACGAACUUUGGACUUUGUAGAAAAAGAAAUAAAAGAACUAAAGAUCCAUCAUGCCAUCUGCAAGAUAAAAAUAAAGAGCUUAUGCUUUAUGAAUUACAUACGGACAACAUCAAAUAUGGAUGUCCACCAAAAAAUAGAAAAAUGAAAAGGUGCUUCCUCUAAACUUUUGAAUAUAAAUGAUUUCAUAUAAAAGGACAAACAAUACAAAAUAUCAUAGCACAAUAUUAUUUUUGGUAGAAAACCUUCAAAUGUUAUUACUUCAGAAGCAAUCAGCAAAUUUAACAGGGGAAGGAUCAUGAAUUUGAUGAACCUAAGGAGAAUUAGACAGUUAAAAGGAUUUUUAUUGAUCAAAAAUAGGUACAAUAGUGUAGUAACAACUUAUAAAUAUCAUGUCAGUCAUAUAUCCCGCUUCUUAAUACAAUAUCUCUCAAUCAAUCAAGAAUGCGUUAAACUGGAUCAAUUCACUUUUAUCUUCUGUGACAUUUUAUCGAACACCAAACAAGCUGCUUGAAUUUUUCCUCUAGAAGCAAAUACAACCAGUGAUAUAGUAAUAAACAAAUGAAUCAUAAUCAAAUCAAUUCUCCUAUCAUUUUAUCAAAGUACUUUAUUAUCUUGUAAUUUUCCAAUACAACUAGACUUCUAUAUACACAUAAAGAAAAAAAUUUACUUCGUAGAUGAAAUACGAAAUACAACAAAAAUCCUAAGAAUUAUUUUUGGUAUCAAGAAUUAGUGUAAUGGUAAAAGUAGAGCAUCACUCAUAUUCAUAAGACGAUAGGUAAUGCAGAUCACUCAAAAUAGAUUAAACAAGAAAUAAAUACUCGAGAAAUAAAAGAAAUAAGAGUAAGAAAUUAUUGCAUACAUGGGAGACCAACGUAGGUUGUAUUACAAGAGUUGUAUCAACUAAAUCCUUAAGUAGUGAUGAUCUCUAUGUUGUUCCUUAAUAAGAGAGGAUCAUAGACAUUUGAACUAUAAGGGAGAGAGUGUGGCGGAGGAGUUAGAGAAGAGAGAAGGAAAGGACAUAUAUGGUUUUCUUGGAUAUAUAGGGUUUUCUUUUGGAGGGAAUAUUAUUUUUAUCUUUCAAGUCUUUUCGUGGAAUAUAAAAAGUAAGAGAUGACUCUUUUUU